AACGAACGCUGGCGGCGUGGAUAAGACAUGCAAGUCGAACGGGAACUUCAGCUGUAGCAAUACAGUUGAAGUUUUAGUGGCGAACGGGUGCGUAACACGUGGGCAAUCUGCCGAGAAGUGGGGGAUAGCUCGCCGAAAGGCGAAUUAAUACCGCAUAUGAUCAGCUAAGACAUCUUAGCGACAUCAAAGCCGGGGCAACCUGGCGCUUUUUGAGGAGCCCGCGGCCUAUCAGCUAGUUGGCGGGGUAACGGCCCACCAAGGCGACGACGGGUAGCUGGGUCUGAGAGGACGGCCAGCCGGACUGGGACUGAGACACGGCCCAGACUCCUACGGGAGGCAGCAGUGGGGAAUCUUGCGCAAUGGCCGAAAGGCUGACGCAGCGACGCCGCGUGAAGGAUGAAGUUUUUC
rnacentral:rRNA from 1 species